rnacentral:rRNA from 1 species
GCUCAGGAUGAACGCUAGCGGCAGGCUUAACACAUGCAAGCCGAACGGUAAUGCCCAGCUUGCUGGGCACACGAGUGGCGCACGGGUGAGUAACGCGUAUGCAACCUACCUUCAACUGGGGGAUAGCCCCGAGAAAUUGGGAUUAAUACCCCAGAAGAUAUCGAUUUCGCAUGUUAUCGGUAUUAAAGCCCCGGUGGUUGGAGAUGGGCAUGCGUGGCAUUAGUUAGUUGGUGGGGUAACGGCCCACCAAGGCGUCGAUGCCUAGGGGUUCUGAGAGGAUAGUCCCCCACACUGGUACUGAGACACGGACCAGACUCCUACGGGAGGCAGCAGUGAGGAAUAUUGGUCAAUGGGUGAGAGCCUGAACCAGCCAUGCCGCGUGCAGGAAUGACGGCCCUAUGGGUUGUAAACUGCUUUUCCUGGGGAAGAACCGCCCGGAUUAUUUCGGGUCUGACGGUACCCGGGGAAUAAGCACCGGCUAACUCCGUGCCAGCAGCCGCGGUAAUACGGAGGGUGCAAGCGUUAUCCGGAUUUAUUGGGUUUAAAGGGUGCGUAGGCGGGCCGGCAAGUCAGUGGUGAAAUCCCGCAGCUCAACUGCGGAACUGCCAUUGAAACUACCAGCCUCGAGUACGGUUGAAGUGGGUGGAAUGUGUCAUGUAGCGGUGAAAUGCAUAGAUAUGACACAGAACGCCGAUAGCGGAGGCAGCUCACUAAACCGAGACUGACGCUGAGGCACGAAAGCGUGGGUAGCGAACAGGAUUAGAUACCCUGGUAGUCCACGCCGUAAACGAUGAUAACUCGAUGUGUGCGAUAUACAGUACGCGUCCAAGCGAAAGUGAUAAGUUAUCCACCUGGGGAGUACGUCCGCAAGGAUGAAACUCAAAGGAAUUGACGGGGGCCCGCACAAGCGGAGGAGCAUGUGGUUUAAUUCGAUGAUACGCGAGGAACCUUACCUGGGCUUAAAUGCAGGAUGAUUCAUGCCGAAAGGCGUGUUCAUUCGGGCAUUUUGCAAGGUGCUGCAUGGUUGUCGUCAGCUCGUGCCGUGAGGUGUCGGGUUAAGUCCCAUAACGAGCGCAACCCUUACUCCCAGUUGCCAUCACUUCGGGUGGGGACUCUGGGGGAACUGCCUACGCAAGUAGCGAGGAAGGUGGGGAUGACGUCAAAUCAGCACGGCCCUUAUGUCCAGGGCUACACACGUGCUACAAUGGCCUGUACAGAGGGCAGCUACCCGGCGACGGGGUGCCAAUCUCAAAAACGGGUCUCAGUUCGGAUCGGAGCCUGCAACUCGGCUCCGUGAAGUUGGAUUCGCUAGUAAUCGCGUAUCAGCAACGACGCGGUGAAUACGUUCCCGGGCCUUGUACACACCGCCCGUCAAGCCAUGGGAGUCGGGGGUACCUGAAGUCGAUAACCGCAAGGAGUCGCCUAGGGUAAGACCGAUAGACUGGGGCUAAGUCGUA